AGAGUUUGAUCCUGGCUCAGAUUGAACGCUGGCGGCAUGCCUUACACAUGCAAGUCGAACGGCAGCGCGGGGCAACCUGGCGGCGAGUGGCGAACGGGUGAGUAGUAUAUCGGAACGUACCCUGGAGUGGGGGAUAACGUAGCGAAAGUUACGCUAAUACCGCAUACGAUCUAAGGAUGAAAGUGGGGGAUCGCAAGACCUCAUGCUCCUGGAGCGGCCGAUAUCUGAUUAGCUAGUUGGCGGGGUAAAAGCCCACCAAGGCAACGAUCAGUAGCUGGUCUGAGAGGACGACCAGCCACACUGGAACUGAGACACGGUCCAGACUCCUACGGGAGGCAGCAGUGGGGAAUUUUGGACAAUGGGCGCAAGCCUGAUCCAGCAAUGCCGCGUGAGUGAAGAAGGCCUUCGGGUUG
rnacentral:rRNA from 1 species